GAAAGGGUGGUCUAGUGGAAAGGCACAGGACUAGUGAGACUGGGUUCAACUCCCAGCUCAUUCA
rnacentral:tRNA from 1 species